rnacentral:tRNA from 1 species
GGAGCUGUAGCUCAAUGAUAGAACAUUUGCUUGGCAUACAGAAGGUCCCAUGUUCAAUUCCUGUCAUUUGCAGUUACA